CCCUUAGUUGUUCUGGGCCGCACGCGUGCUACACUGAGUAAAUCAAUGGGUAAGGGAACACGAAAGUGCAACCUAAUCUUGAAAUUUGCUCGUGAUGGGGAUCGACGGUUGCAAUUUUCCGUCGUGAACGAGGAAUACCUUGUAGGCGCGUGUCAUCAUCACGCGCCGAAUACGUCCCUGCCCUUUGUACACACCGCCCGUCGCUCCUACCGAUUGAGUGAUCCGGUGAGGCUCUGGGACCUGGACGGAAAGAGCGUUUCGCUUGUUCUGUUUGGGAAACUUGGUCGAACCUUAUCAUUUAGAGGAAGGAGAAGUCGUAACA
rnacentral:rRNA from 1 species